UUGGAUAAGUGCUGAAAGCAUCUAAGUACGAAGCCAGCCACAAGAUUAGAUUUCUCAGGGUCGUUGUAGACUACAACGUUGAUAGGAUGCAGGUGUACAGGCAGCGAUGUCAUAGCCGAGCAUUACUAAUUGCCCGUCCACUUUUUGCC
rnacentral:rRNA from 1 species